rnacentral:rRNA from 1 species
AUGCCGAAUGGAGCUAAAUUCUUCACAGUUGGCCUGGCUGCUGUGACCUGGGCUAUAUGGUUGGCUCAUAAUAGGGCUACCUUUGAGAAGAAGUUAAUUAAAUCUUCUUUUGAGAUUGUGUUUUCGGCAUGUUCUUUUCUUUUGUACUGGGCAGGACUUCAGAACAAGGAAGAAGCGGAGGAGCUACGCCAAGGUGCAGAGAUGAUUCGCUCAAGCUUGACCAGGCUGAUGGCGAUGUGUGAGAAGGCCAGGCGCACGGCGGAUGAUGAUGGAGAGGUGCUGACCUGGUGA